AAAAACGCCAUUUUCUUUCUUACAUAGAAUGUAAUAUAUUUCCCAUUACCUCCAUAUGAUUCGCUGCACCUGUCAAAAGACAAAUUUAGCACCGCCACAAGCCUUAGAAGACCAGUUGUGAGUAUCGAAACCCUUCGAAGACCUAAACCCUCAGAUCGUAAAAAACCCUAAACCUUCACUCUCGUUGAAAACCCUAGGCCUUCACUCUCGUUGAAAACCCUAAGCUUUCUCUCUCUCUAUUGAAAAACCUUAACCUUUGGAAGAGUACUAUAUUCAGACUCUAAUCUACAACUAUUCUUAACCUGUCGGUAAUGGAAUCUCAUAGAUUUGAGUGGCAACGAAAUCAAAAGUGAGGUGGGAGACAAUAUUGGGGUGAUAUAUCACAUCGUGAAACAACGACGUGUAGUUGGUGAGUAGCCGAGCUGUUUGGGGGUUUUCAUUUUCAAGAUCCUGCUCCGAUCUCCUCUGUUAAGCAGCCAGAAAAUGUGAAGGUUUCUGUUCUUAGACCAACUCGAAUCUGAUCUACAUCUGGUUAGGAAGAUUUAUUUUGGGGGUCAAUGUACAUAGUUCGAAUCAAAGGACCAUCCAGAUAGAGGAGUCCAUGGGUUGGAAGAAAAUGAAGCUUUAUGGAGAUGAUGGUCACUGGAGGUAGCAUAGGCAUGGAAAUUAGAAAUCUUAUUGUGGAAGGUAAAAAGUUUUAGCAAAAGUGAAAAUUUUUAAUUGAAAAGAUUUCAGAAAUUGGGACUCCGUGGAUUGUGAAUUUGUGACUUGAAGGGUUGGUUGUUUGGAAUGAGUUUUUGCAUUUUUGUGGACAAAGCUGCAAAUUUUCAUAUUUUUAUGGAUGAAUAAUCCUCUGCAUGUAUAAGAUCCUUGUAGGAUUUGAAAAUGUAUCAAAUUUCUGUCAUCACUAUAGUGGCAAUUCCUACUUGUAUCAUGAUUCUUGACUUGAAUACCCAAGUUUCCAACUUAGUUGGGGGUGUGGCAGUUCUGUUGCUGGUUUAUCUUCUAUGUCAUUAAGUAAAAGGGAUGUUUGGUAAGUCUUGUAUGGUAUACGAUGGAGCCUUUUUUAUUGGUAAAUUCACAUGUUGUUUUUCCCAUUGAACUGUUGUUUUUCUUUCUCUAUUUUUUUAAAGCUAAUUUUGGUUGCAAUUUUGUGUAUAGUAUCUGGAACAGAGCCUCCUUAAGAGUUAUUCAUCUAGUUGAAGGCUUCCCUUUGUGGUAUUGCUACUUUAUGCUUGCUAGAAAUAUUUAAUCAUCAAUUAACUAUCUUGUGUUUAUAUCAAAAUAUGAUGGCCAGUUUGCUAUGAGGGAUUUUAUUUGCAUUACUAGUUGAUAAUCACACUUUGGAAGGUGAAAAGACCUUCAUUUAAUAGAGGUUCGUAUUUUUGAUCGGAUACCGAAUUGUGUUUACCACUUUGUCAGGCUAUGCACUUCAAUUUGGCAUUGGGUUAUCAUUUCUAAUUCAAAUUCCAUUCCGAUUGUUACCCUUUCCGAAUAAUGCACAGCAAUGACACACAGCGUUUGGAAAUUUCAAAAUCUUGUGUACAGGAUGCCAUGAAUUUAAACAAUGUACUAAUAUCUAUUAUGUAUUACCUAUCUUUCCACCCUUGGAUUCAUGUUGUGGUUGUUCAAAAAUACCCCAUUAUGAUUCAUUUCAUACUGUGCAACAUGAAAGGAGAAUGAAACUUGAAGCUUCUGCCAAGGCAGGACAUGGAUCCUUUCUACUCUUGAUAGCCAGUUAUAAUAUUUGAAUCCAUAUUCUGUUAUUUAUAGUCAUUGGCAUUGGUGUUUAGUCCCUUGACUUCUAUAUCAGUCCAUGGUGACAUGAUGAAGAAGGAAAUGGAGGCAAGUGCUCUGCUGGGGUCCAUGGCUUUGCAGUGAAGCUUAAUGUGGUCUCAAGGUGUAUUAGGUUUUCUACUCCUUCAGUGGAGCUUAUGAAGUUCUAAGACUGCUGCAGAAGGCUUCAUCUCGAAUUCAGGUGAUGCACUCCCACUUCUCCAAUGUUAAUGAAGAUUAUAUCUGAAGUAUAAUAUAUAUCACUCUUCUCUUCCUAGCUUGGAAGAGAGAGAAAGAAAGAAAUAGUGAAAGAUAGAAAGGGAUAGAGUGUUCUACUCCACCAUCUAAGUAUGUGAUGAAAAGUUACAAAGGAAACUUGUUUGCUAAAAGAAGAGAAACCAUUGUGUUAAAGAAGGCGAAGUCAAAAACCAUGGAGGUUGAACUAUGCUUUUAAAGAUUAUGGUUUAUUUUUGUAGUCUUGAUACCAAUGCUUGUUCUUAUAUUAGAAUUAGAAAUUCUUAUUGAAAUAUUUUGGUAUAAUUAAUAAGUUUAUGUGUAAUUAAUAUAUAUAGGUGGUUACAUUAACUGUUUAAACUAGGUUCAUGUAUAUCAAU